GCAAUCCCAGGUCAGGCGGGACUACCCGCUGAGUUU
rnacentral:rRNA from 1 species